rnacentral:rRNA from 1 species
AUUGAACGCUGGCGGCAGGCCUAACACAUGCAAGUCGAGCGGAUGAAGGGAGCUUGCUCCUGGAUUCAGCGGCGGACGGGUGAGUAAUGCCUAGGAAUCUGCCUGGUAGUGGGGGAUAACGUCCGGAAACGGGCGCUAAUACCGCAUACGUCCUGAGGGAGAAAGUGGGGGAUCUUCGGACCUCACGCUAUCAGAUGAGCCUAGGUCGGAUUAGCUAGUUGGUGGGGUAAAGGCCUACCAAGGCGACGAUCCGUAACUGGUCUGAGAGGAUGAUCAGUCACACUGGAACUGAGACACGGUCCAGACUCCUAAGGGAGGCAGCAGUGGGGAAUAUUGGACAAUGGGCGAAAGCCUGAUCCAGCCAUGCCGCGUGUGUUAAGAAGGGCUUCGGAUUGUAAAGCACUUUAAGUUGGGAGGAAGGGCAGGAAGUUAAUACCUUGCUGUUUUGACGUUACCAACAGAAUAAGCACCGGCUAACUUCGUG